rnacentral:tmRNA from 1 species
GGGAAUGAUCGGUAUCGACAAUAGCCGUCUUUGUUAUUUUGCAUGUCGAAUAAGUGUCCUAUUUUCGUAAAAGUUUGACACAAAACAUAAAUGCAAAAGCAUUUUCAGUAAAAUCUCCAUACUUUAGUAUGAACGAUUUUGCUUACGCUCGCGUAUAAAUCGCUAGCUGCCCCUAUAUCUUUUUCUCAGGGUGGAUAUAACGGGUAUAAUACUUUCUGAGAUAAGGUCUGGAAGCCACUCUCUUUCUGACACGAAAAAUUUUGAGUUAGAUUACAAUCGGUUUUGUUCUAUUUUUUAGUUUGUAAUCGAGAUACGAAAUAGAAAUAAACAUGUAGACGAAUAGUAGAGAAGUUGUUGCACGGGGGUUCGAUUCCCCCCAUUUCCACUG